rnacentral:rRNA from 1 species
UACAGAGGUCUCAAGCGUUGUUCGGAAUCACUGGGCGUAAAGCGCACGUAGGCGGAUUGCUAAGUCAGGGGUGAAAUCCUGGAGCUCAACUCCAGAACUGCCUUUGAUACUGGCGACCUUGAGUCCGGGAGAGGUGAGUGGAACUGCGAGUGUAGAGGUGAAAUUCGUAGAUAUUCGCAAGAACACCAGUGGCGAAGGCGGCUCACUGGCCCGGUACUGACGCUGAGGUGCGAAAGCGUGGGGAGCAACAGG